GUAGCAUGUAAAGCUGGUAAAGAAACUAUCAGCUUUGAAUUCCGUGAUUUUCCCCUUAUAGGCUUGUGAAAGUAUUGAUUACAGCUGCAACAUCAGUGCUCUUUGAUUCUCUUUUCCAGGUAUUUUUUGGCCCUUUCUUUGAUGGUAAUGCUGUAGUCACCACGAAAUUCAUCCUUCCUGUACAGGCUAGAUAUGUGUUGUUCAAUCCACGAGAACCGUUGACUGUGUCCUCUAAUCAUCUAUGUCUGCGAGUGGACAUAGCAAGUUGUCAAAAUGUAUCACGACCCACAUCGAGUCCAACGCCAAGUCUUGUUCCGCCCUUCAAUACAACGAAAUCCACGGCACUGCCAUCAUUUACAGUGAAACCAACUUCUUCAGGUUUUACACCAGUAAUGUCAUCUUCAGUCGUGUCAACAGUGACUAUUCCUCCUCAUGUACAAAGGAUACUUGUUAGUCUACUUGGAUCUCUCACCCGAAUCAUACAGAGGCUUCAAGCACUCCUCGGAGGGUCACUUUCUCCUGCAGAUCUCGAUAACUUUCAAAGUGAGUAAACACUUAUUGCUCGAGUUAUGCAUCCCACUUUGAAAA
rnacentral:misc_RNA from 1 species